UGGAUCAACAGCAGCACCAAAACAAGAUGCAAGUGAACACCUUCACCCUAUUGCCUGGAAUCCCCUAUCCGGCCUGUCAGGGUCAACGAUCGAUCCCUGCUGUCAGAACCUGUCUGGAUCCACCCUCCCCUCUCCAUGUCAGGGACAACUCAGUUAUGCUCUCAGUGACAAAUGUCUCACUUUUCCUUCACAGCCAGAUGUAUAAAGUUUAUGCAAGCACACAUUCCUGGCAGAGCACUGGACUGGAUAGUCCUGGACUAGAGCGGAGCCAGACAAAUGACAGUUUCAGCAAUGUAACAGAGUUUUACUUCUGUAUUUUGUUGUUUUCCUUCUUCUUGGUUACUCAUGAUAACUUCAGUAAGGAGUUUGUCUUGGACGAUGGAAGCAAGUCAGAAUGUUCCUUACUUGCUCUCGUAAACUUCAUUUCCUA